rnacentral:rRNA from 1 species
CACGUAGGGUGCGAGCGUUGUCCGGAAUUAUUGGGCGUAAAGAGCUCGUAGGCGGUGUGUCGCGUCGGCCGUGAAAACCUGCAGCUUAACUGUGGGCUUGCGGUCGAUACGGGCAUCACUGGAGUUCGGCAGGGGAGACUGGAAUUCCUGGUGUAGCGGUGAAAUGCGCAGAUAUCUGGAGGAACACCGGUGGCGAAGGCGGCAUCCUGGACCGGCAUUGACGCUGAGGAGCGAAAAGCCAG